GACGAACGCUGGCGGCGUGCUUAACACAUGCAAGUCGAACGGAAAGGCCCUGCUCUUGUGGGGUGCUCGAGUGGCGAACGGGUGAGUAACACGUGAGUAACCUGCCCUUGUCUUUGGGAUAACUUCAGGAAACUGGGGCUAAUAUCGGAUAGGAUCUCCUGCAGCAUGGUGGGGGUUGGAAAGUUUCGGCGGUUGGGGAUGGACUCGCGGCUUAUCAGCUUGUUUGUCGGGUAGUGGCUUACCAAGGCUUUGACGGGUAGCCGGCCUGAGAGGGGGACCGGGCACAAGAGGACUGCGGUAGGGAGCAGAAGGGAAUGUGAGGCAACAGGGGAAAGUAUGACGGAGUAGGCCGGAGCGAGAGGCAGCGGCGUCGCGAGCGUGAUGACCGCUUUUGGGGGAAGAACAGCUGUCGACUGAGACGAAGAGGUAGUGACGGUACUGAGUAAAGAAGCACCGGCUAACUACGUG
rnacentral:rRNA from 1 species